UGCUCACGCAUUUGUGUUCCAGCUCAAAGUACCAAAACAGCAGCAGAGACGGUGUGAUGUUGCCAAUUUUCUCUCUGUUGGUGCAGCCACUUCCCCAUGCAAUUUCCUCAGUGAAGCACCGAAGGACAUCGCCUGUGACCACUGCAGACACUGAGUCAAGGCCAGCGGCUGGGGGCUCGCCGGCCACUGCUGUCCAGCCCCAGGGAAGCAGCAGCAUGGCAGGAAGACUGAACAAGGCACAGCAACAAGAACAGAACGCCCACAUACGAUUCUGAACAGCGGAACUGACCUCUGUGGUUCAGAGCUCUCCUUUUUCCAAGACAUUUGUAAUCUGGGAUAUCAGGUUUUAGAGGGCUGCUUUCCACACCCAGCCCCUGGGUCUGCUCCUGUGCACAGGAGGUCCUGAGCUUUCUAAACUCAAGCAGCAUUUGAAAUUGCAUGAUGCUUCGGGGCUUCAGGGUCCCAUUAUGCAGACUGGGCUGCAACCUUGAGGACAGCUGUUCACACUGUAGUCACUGGUUUACAGGAAGUACACUGCGUAACACAACACAGAAUCAGCAUGAUGAUUACCAACAAGUGACAUCUACAGUACUGCAGCCUUUCGUGAGAAACCAGGCACUGGUGGAGUCAGAGUCUGCCGUCGGAUCAGCCUUGGAGAAUUCCUCAGAAAUUCACUCAUUAACACCUCCAGAGCCUAGAGCCAGAUCACUAAACGUGUCCUGGUGGACUGCAGGCCUGUGGGCGAAACCCUGGAGGAGACCUGUGGACAGUGCAGGGCCCAGCCCAGCUGACGGAGCUGUUACUGCGGAAAUAAAGCAGGACCAGCUCGUUAAUUCCGCAGAGUGCACCUGCCCAGAGGAGUAUUCACAGGCGUCUUUUGUCCAUAUUCAAGGUCUCUUUACAGGUCCAAAAAGCUUUUAAGGGUCUUGCAAACCCACUUCUGCCAAAUCACAUGAAUGGAGCUCAUUACUCCCUCAGAAAGCUACGUUAGUGCCAUGUAUUUUUUUUCUUCGCAAAGCCCCCUUUACUUUCAGACAGAUAUUUUUCUCGACACGCAAGCUAUGUUUUGAAGAGAUGUGGUGUUUAAAUGGGGGUUGGGGUUGGGCCUUCCUUCAGUCUCUGGGCUGUGCUCUCUUCCUGCUCGCUUGCGUCACCCCCUCCUCUGCUGCAGCUGAAGGCACAGGCUGACAAAGCCUCUAAUUUCAGGUUCCACCAUUGUUUGAAGCACAGAUAAAUAUAUAUUCUUCCCUUUGUAAAA